AUCGAACGCUGGCGGCAGGCCUAACACAUGCAAGUCGAACGGUAGCACAGAGAGCUUGCUCUCGGGUGACGAGUGGCGGACGGGUGAGUAAUGUCUGGGAAACUGCCCGAUGGGGGGGGAUAACUACUGGAAACGGUAGCUAAUACCGCAUAACGUCGCAAGACCAAAGUGGGGGACCUUCGGGCCUCACACCAUCGGAUGUGCCCAGAUGGGAUUAGCUAGUAGGUGGGGUAAUGGCUCACCUAGGCGACGAUCCCUAGCUGGUCUGAGAGGAUGACCAGCCACACUGGAACUGAGACACGGUCCAGACUCCUACGGGAGGCAGCAGUGGGGAAUAUUGCACAAUGGGCGCAAGCCUGAUGCAGCCAUGCCGCGUGUAUGAAGAAGGCCUUCGGGUUGUAAAGUACUUUCAGCGGGGAGGAAGGCGGUGAAGUUAAUAACUUCACCGAUUGACGUUACCCGCAGAAGAAGCACCGGCUAACUCCGUGCCAGCCGCCGCAGUAA
rnacentral:rRNA from 1 species